CACGUAGGCACCAAGCGUUGUCCGGAUUUAUUGGGCGUAAAGAGCUCGUAGGCGGUUUGUCGCGUCUGCUGUGAAAUCCCGAGGCUCAACCUCGGGUCUGCAGUGGGUACGGGCAGACUGGAGUGCGGUAGGGGAGAAUGGAAUUCCUGGUGUAGCGGUGGAAUGCGCAGAUAUCAGGAGGAACACCGAUGGCGAAGGCAGUUCUCUGGGCCGUAACUGACGCUGAGGAGCGAAAGCGUGGGGAGCGAACAGG
rnacentral:rRNA from 1 species